UGUGAGUAUCACCAGGUAUGUGUGAGUAUCACCUUGUAGCAGGCCCAGUGUGCUAGUACCACCAGGUAUGUGAGUAUCACCAGGUAGGUGUGAGUACCACCAGGUAUGUGUGAGUAUCACCUUGUAGCAGGCCCAGUGUGCUAGUA